rnacentral:tRNA from 1 species
CAAACUGUAGCUUAACCUUAAAGCCCCUUGCUUACACCAAGAAUAUAUUUGUUUAAAUCAAAUCAGCUUGA